rnacentral:pre_miRNA from 1 species
UUAACUCAACUUUGUAUGGAGUUGUAACGUUUGCCUACGUUUGCCGCUAGGGGCGCUGUUGUAACUUCAUACAAAGGAGUUA